rnacentral:rRNA from 1 species
AGUGAACGCUGGCGGUAGACCUAACACAUGCAAGUCGAACGGCAGCACAGGAAGAUCUUGCUCUUACGGGUGGCGAGUGGCGGACGGGUAAGGAAUGCAUCGGAAUCUACUUUUUCGUGGGUGAUAACGUAGGGAAACUUAUGCUAAUACCGCAUACUACCUACGGGUGAAAGCAGGGGAUCUUCGGGCCUUUCGCGAUUGAAUGAGCCGAUGUCGGAUUAGCUAGUUGGCGGGGUAAAGGCCCACCAAGGCGACGAUCCGUAGCUGAUCUGAGAGGAUGAUCGGCCACACUGGAACUGAGACACGGUCCAGACUCCUACGGGAGGCAGCAGUAGGGAAUCUUGGACAAUGGGCGCAAGCCUGAUACAGCAAUACCGCGUGGGUGAAGAAGGCCUUCGGGUUGUAAAGCCCUUUUGUUGGGAAAGAAAAGCAGCAGGUUAAUACGCCGCUGUUCUGACGGUACCCAAAGAAUAAGCACCGGCUAACUUCGUG